UUACUUCCUCUCUCAGCGUCUCCCUUUCUCUUUCUCUCUCCUUCCCUCCUUCUCCCUCUCUCUCCCUCUUGCGAAGUCUCGCACAGAGAGAACCGCCUAUAGUCAACGAUCGGAUUGGCUCAUUGAAUUUUAAAAUCUCAAAUAGAGUUAGCGCAGACAUCAGACGAUUCGAAAGAGCUCGCGGUUGCAUCAAAAUGCGGAAUGUCUUUUAAACGAUUUACGGCGCGGCCAUUCUAAGGUUUUCAGAUGGAGACUGUAAAUGCAAAGUAUAAACUCAUAUAUAAUUUGGUACAAUCUUUCCAUUUUACACUAACGUAUUUUCGAUUGUUAUAAUAGAUAAAAAUUGUGCUUACAGAGAUAAAGCUGAAACGUUUUAUUUAAGCGCAGUAGUAACAACCGAUACUAUUCGGACACUAAUUGUAAAAACAAACUACUUAAAUUUCAACGAGAAGAUGUUUGCAGAAACAUCUCACUUAAUUAGUUUUUGAAUCAAUAAUCAUCUUUUUUUUGAAAUUUAAUAUCCCCGGUAUAAAAUUAUUCAUUCUUUUCUUGUUGUAUGCUAUCUGUUUGUUAGCUUUCAUAUUAUUAUGGUCAUUAUUAGUCAUUACUACACGAAUACUUACCGUAAUUUGUAUGGAAAAGAAGAGCUCAUAGAAUUAAAAUUCAUCGUGCCAUCUGGAACGUCGGUCCCGAAAGCGUACCUGAAAUCACAAUUAUAGGGGUCGGUCCGGGAAUUCGUGAGGCCGAAGAGUUGGGCUCGUUAACCACGCAGUAGUAACGCAUCACCAUCGGCCAGACAGCAUCAAAUAAAUCGCCCAUCGACCUAGCUAACGACGCCCCGAACAUAUCUCUCGUUGGGGUAGGGUAGGUUCUCCUCCCUUUUUCUGGCGGUGUCAGGAAGGAACGAGGGUGGCCUAAUUCGUCAUAACGUUCUUCCUAUUCCGGCAACCUUGGGACGCCAUCGGGAAGUCUUAUCUAUCCCCACCGCCGUCGUCGGACUUUAUCGGCUGUUAAAUUGCCGUUCCGUUAACGGCCGCGCCGGAAGAAGAAGAACAACAAGAAGAAGGAGAAGCGACGGGACGCUCGGCGGGAGACGGGGACGGGACGCGACCGAUGGAUUUUACGACGCGAUCAAACGCGUCCGACGCUAAUUGCCUUCUUUUUUUUUUUUUAACGAUCGGAUGAGAUGGCGGCGGAAUUCGCGACGACGCAAACGCGAGUGUAUUCACGGUGCGACUUCUGCGACCGGAAGUGGGGAAUCAACAGCGCAGAACUUCCACCGAUCGGCCAUUAAUCGGUCCGGUAAUAUUAACGAGCGGGUGUAUGUACUUGACCGCACAACCGCUGUCCACGCGAAAUGCUACUUCGUGUUCGAAACGGACCAUCUACCUGCUGGAUCGACGAUUCUCGUCGUGCAAUAAAAUCAACUAAUAGGUCCGGUAAUGUCUUUAAUAUCGGUACUAUGUAACCGAAUGUUUAGGGUGUGCGCGAUUGUUAAUCACGGAGUUCUUAAUAGGAGAGUUUUUGGAUGUAAUUAGAAGGUUAAAUUACUUGGGUUUACGCAGAUAACAUUAUCUUUACGUUCUGUUCGAUGUUCUGUUCUUUGUGAGGCACGAACAAGCUUUGAGACAAAAGAAUUCCGGUGAAUCUUGUCGAGUACGGAAACCUGCUGGAUCACAUUCUUCUCGUGAUUUACGCGAAACGUUCUCUCCCGUCACAUUUGCGACACUUCUUGUCGCAAAAAUCACACAGUCACAUUUCGAGAAAAUCCGCGAAAUAAUUCUGAACAUUUACGUGAAGGAUUUUGGAGUGAAUAAAAAUUAAAACGAAAAGCGUGUAAUCUUAGUCACUUAAAUGAACUUUGCGUAUUCUUUUUAACAUGAAAUUUUUAAUCGAUUUGAUCAAGGAAGCAAAAAAUUUCUCUUCAGUUUUUAUUAAAAAAUGAGAAACUUUUUAUCAUGCAGCACAUCAUUUCGCAUUAUGGCGUUUUUGUUAUAUACUUUUGCGACAUUCUCUUUCAAAUCCCUCAUUGAAAUCAACGCCGCUGCAUUCCUAAUAUUCACACGCGUUUUAAGGCCGCAAGUGAGAAAUCCGCCGGGUGCCGAUGAAAGGGCGCUCGGCAAACCUCGCAUGAUUCGCCCCAAUUAUCCCAACAUUUACCCGAACUACCACCGCAUAGCCACACGCGCAACUCACAGAUGGUCGGUUGGCCACACGCGAAAAUUCGCGCGAAAGUGGCCCACAACGUCGUUUAAUUGCUUUGCCAGAACCAGCCUGCAGCGAGAACGCUCGCAGCUACUUGCUCAUGAAUUAGUAUAUCCGAGAGGUAUACGUUGUCGGAUGCAAGUGUGAACGCUUCCCGGUGCACAAUGUACGUUACAAAAAGUUGGUGAAUGAAACUAUGGAAUUCGAAUUACCGUGGAAUUGGAUUACGAUCCACGCGCGGACCGCAGAAAGUAUUAUAAUUAUGCAUAAGAAUAAUUGCUGCCUGCUCGCCAUAUAAAUUGAUAGAAUAAGUGAAUGCAAGAUAAUUAAGUGGUAAAGUUUUUUUGCAGUUAAUUUUUACAUUGUUAUCUAAUUUUUACAUUGUUAUUAUACCCAGAAAAAUCGAAAAUUUUGGUGCGCACUCUAUUUUUAUGUUAUUUCAAAAUUUUCAUGUAUGCCAUUUGAAUUAUAACGGAUCGAAGUGAUGUUAGAAACCUGUAAAGUAUAUUAUUUUAUUUUUCUUUCGGUAUUUAUAAUUGCUGCAAUUCUUACAAUUCAGUAGAAGAAAUAACUUGGAGAAACCAUCACUGUCUAGUGAAAAAGGAGUAUUGCGAUGUAUCCUGAGCUCAAGAAAUCGAAUCUUCCGCGCCUUCCUUAAAACUUCAUGGAUAGUCGGUGGCCGAGAAAGAGAGCGAGAGUCGCGGGGGUGGCUUUAGGUGGCGCUCUCUGGCGUUGCUUCUGCCAAUCGAUACGGGGUUUCGAGGGUAGACGUAUCUUCGAGAUGGGGAUUAGGGUGCGGCGACGUGCGGAGAAGUCGCCGUAGUCGUCGGCGGCAGCGGGUACCGGUGAGGCGACGGGGGUGAAAAGGAAGGAACGAGCGGCCGUGGAAUCGCGAGGGUGAGCGCGGAGUCAGACGGAGGUUGCAAAGAGGGUCGAUUCAGCGCUGGACCAAGGUCCACUCUCACUUGCCGGUAGGGAAGGGAGAAGACGCCGGGACGAAGCGAGGGUUGAUGUAGAAGGGUGCAACGCGGGGGUGGCCACGGCGGAGGCGUAGGGUGGCAAGGCAGGGGGAGAUGUGACUUGGAACGUGCAAUUGCACGUCGCAUAAAUUGCAUGAGUGCUGCAGCACCGACCGCCGCUUUGCGCGUUGCACGCAAUUAUUCUGCUCGCGCUGUACACGCAAAUAUUCAAAGGAAUAGCAAUCAGUUUUAGUUUUUCCCUACCGGCUGUUGAUUUUCAUGCUUUUUAUCACGUACGGAGCAAACAAGUACUAUAUCAGCAACCAUGUUUCUAUUUUUUAUGACAAUAUAUGUUUUUUGUCUAUAUUAACGUGUCUGCAAUAAAAAAAAACAAUUACAAUUUGCAUUCUAUUACAUCUAGCAUAAAAUGAUGAAUAUAGAAAAUAAUAUAUUAUACUAAAUUAAUAAUUAUUAUUUGAAAUAUCUGAUUUGAAUAGUAAUAACAUUAUUUUUUAUAUAAUAAUAUACUAAAUAAAAAUUUUUAAUGGAAUAGAAAAUCUAAAAAAGAUUUUUAUUCGUGUAUCAUCUCUUUGAUAUUUUAGUUCGCUAAUUUUAUGUAAGGAGACAUUCAAAAAGCUACAUUCAGAAUGAAGUCUUUUCAGUUUCGAAAAGCGCGAUGUAGCUCCUUUGAAAGGAAGGACUUCAUAAAGACGUUUUCAGAAUAAGAUGCGUUCCAAAGAAUUAACGAUCUACAAUUAAGCUUAAUUGAAGUGAAAGGGAUUGAGUUUUGACGAAGGAAGCCCAACGAGAGAAUCCGAUGCUUUUAUCGGGCGUGAAUAAUAUUCGAGCGCAGAGUUACGCGGAGUGAAUAUCAGGUCCCUGAAUAAGCUCUCCGCGAAGCGAAGCGAAGAGUGGGAGGGGUGAGAAAUUUUUUGGUUAUUGGACGACCACAUCGUAGGCGGAAUCCGAAAGGAGGGAAUAUCCGAGAGGGAUCGGGAAAAGACGAACAUGCAAAUGGACCGACCGGUCGAAUUUUCUCGGGGUAUGUUCUCGGGUACACGCGUGUGCGUAUUGCGAGCGUGUGUAUACGUAAACACAUAAGGGGUGUGUGGACGCGCGUUUCUCUCUCUCUCUCUCUCUUUCUCUCUUUCUCUCUCUCUGCUUCGUGUCCAACUCCUUGCCCAGCUCCAUCGUCCACUCUCCCUCUUUUGUGUUCGUUUGUGGACACGUAGAGCAGCGUAUUCGAGGAGGCGAGCGGCCAUCCUUCCCGCGUGAAGCAAAACUAAGGGAAAAUUGACCGACGUGCAGUGGUUCUCCGUAGUCCAGGAAGUUACAAAGUAACCGGCCUUCGUAGAUACACGAGAAAUUACUUAAUCCUAAAUUUAAUUCGCAAUUUUCAAAUAAUAUGAAAACUAUAAGUUUUGAUAACUGAUUUAAAGAGUACAAGUAAAAAGACUUCUUGAUAAAUUUUACCGUAACGUUGUACGUCUGUACUAAUUAAUUUCAAUAAUUUAAGAUUUUGUAAAAAGAACGUAUUUGUCGAAGAAUUAGAAAAAUAUUUGUAAAUUCGAUUUUCAGAAAAGGAUGGAUGACGUUUAAAAUUUUAAAAUCAUUUUUAAAAUCAAUGCAAUACAUUGGACGUUUAUAAAAUUGAAGGCAUUUUAUCAUCCAUGUUAAUAUAACAAUUUCCUUUACAUUUUUACACAUAAAAUACAUAUAGCUGGAAUUUCAUGUAACUAUACUUUUUAUAUGGAAUAAAAAAAAUAGCAAGUUCGUAAGACCGCCUUUAAAGCGGAAUAAAAAAUUUUCUUUCCUGCGAAAACCUCACUUCGCCUCGGCGAAUGCAAAUCGCGAGGGCUUGCUGAGAGAGUUGGCCGGCCAAGAGGCCGCGGCGGGACGAAAGGAAGGAAGAAGGAUGGACCAGCCGCGGGGGUGCAGGGUGUAGAAUGGUUCGUAGGUAGGGUGGCUUGAUAUCGGCGAGAAGGUGAGCUUCGGAACGCGAUGUCCGGCCUGGUCCAGCCGGCAGGAGAUGCGAGUAUUGAUCUAGGCUCAGACCUAACCCCCCUUCUUCCGCCCUCUUCCUCGGCGAACCCCGACCACCUCCUUCGUCUCUCCCCUAGCCUCCUCGUCGCGAAGCCACCCCUGCCUGUUUCUGGAGGUCGCCGAGACCGAGGGAGGAAGAGAAAGUGCGGGAAGACAGGGGGCUGGGUGUGAGGGAUGGUGGUGAGGUAGACACGAGGAGGGCCGAAGGGCGGCACGAAAGAGGGUGGAGGACCUCGAAGUCCGGCUUGCCCGAGCUGCCCCCUCGGCUACGCACGUUCACUCUCACCUCCUCCACCUCCGGCCGCCUACUCUUACGUUAGACACGUUGCAGUGGUGCUCAUUCUUCCCCCGUCUUAACCCUAACAAGAUGAGCUUGAAGAUCUUAUGAAAAUGGAUUGAACAAACAAUUUUAAUAAUUCUUGUGACUUUGUAAGUGGUGAUUUGCAGCACUUUUAAUACCGAAGACUAAAAGUGUACUGAAAUAUAUCUUUACAAACUUAAUCUCUUUUUUUCUACUAUCAUUUUUGUAAUUAAUUAAUUAUGUUGUAAAUAAUAAAGCAGUAGCAAUAAUAGUUUCCAAGUAUGCAUGGCCAAGUAUCUUCCCUAAUAUUUCUUGAGUCUUCUGAAGAGUUAUCUAAAUUAUCUAUUUAAAAAUUAUCGCCACACCAACUUUUUGCAUCAGUACAAGAUUUGCCCGGCUACAGAAUGCUUUUAGCACGACCUUGAACGUGACUCUACAACUCGGAAGCACGAUUAGCGACGGCGUUUAUGGUCGGUGCACCAGUGGAGCGAGCGACGAUAACGUCGCAGCGAGUUACUCGAAUCCCAAUAAAUCCAACCCGCCCUUUGCGGCCUAGGAAGCCUGCAUGAGCUCGCUCUGAGAUUAGUAUUAAUUUAUAGCGCUGGCAGAUAGGAUAGAAUGCGGUGCUGGCUGGCCGAGAAUAGAAAGGGUGGAAAGUGAAAUUUCGCGGCCGCCGGAACAGGACCGGGCCGCCAUUUCCAUUUUCCGCGCUGAUAAUUGCAAGCUGAGGAUUCCGCCCUCGCGCGAAUAGGCAAAGUUUUCUCCGCUUGCUCGCACGUUUCAUCGAGGUAAUAAGGGAUAAUCGCAACAGUAUUUGCUAUUAAUUAACGUUAAUAAUUUUAUUAAAUUAAUUGAACAUCGUCAAUCUAAAGGACGACUGACCGACAAGCCACUCCUGCUGGUUGCAUAGGAGUUUUUUUGUCCUUUGCGAUUUCGAACGUGGAUUAAAAGAUUCGUUCCCCUAAGGUUGAGACGUGCCGUAGUCAGCUUGCGGCUUUAUCUUAUUAAAGACGUAACAGAGACGCCUGUUAGGGCCGGCACGCGGCGAGGGAGAAAAAUGAAGAAAAGACGACAACCUACCCCACGGACCAUCGGUCAUCGCCCAAAACCUCCCCGUCGUUUUUUUCCCACCCUCCGCUCCGCGAUAUCGCCCUGUAAUGAAUCUGUCACAGAGCUGCGAGAUUUCAUUUCCUUCCUCUCUCUUUCAGGAGAACACAGAGAAAUCAUUUUUGUGACUCUGGACUUUGCAAGAUGAAUGACAUCAUUUUUACAGCCUGUACGCACUAAUAAUAUUAGAGUCGAUAAUGUUUUAGAAUUUUACUUACACUAAUUACAUUCAUAAAAUUAGUUUUAGCUCGUUAUAGCUUUUUUACAAAUUACAUAAUACUUUUCUUGCAAAGUAUUCCUGUUCGUUUCAUGAAAAAUAAAAUGUAAUGUUUCUUAACAACAGAAAUCUUAUGCUAAAACGUAUCUAAGCCGUGUGUCUCGUUUAUCUAAUCACCAUGGAAUUCGGUUUCUUGUACAGCAAACUUGCCGUUAAUCGAAUUACGACGAGUACAUCCUCGGAACUUCCGGCCGCGGCAUUGGAGAGAGGAGUAUCGGAAGUCCGAAGUCGUCGUGGGAAUUGAAACCUCUCCGCGACGGGCGGCGAGUGGUCGAUCCCGAAGAAGCUUGCAAGGGACUCCGACCCACGACGAAGGAACCCAACGGUGGCGACCCAGUCCCGAAGACUUUGACCCACAUCAUAUCGCUCGUUUUUGCUUCUCCGCCUCCACCACCUUCCGAGUUCCUUCCCUCUCGAGACUAUUAUCUUAAUCCCAUACAUCCUCUUUAAGAGACCUGCUCUCUCAAAGACCGUCUUCUCGCCUCAGUGCCGAUCUUACCGUCUCGCGUGUGUGACACUCCGGUUUUUCAUCGUCUCUCCGCGGAUCUUUGAUUGAAAUAUGAGAUAAAGAGGAAAAACUGAUAGUUCCCGAACAACCGAUCAAUGUUGCAUUUGAUUUUGAUGACUUUAUAAUAAUUGUUGACUUCAUCACUGAACAGCCAGUUCUAGUUUUAUUCUCCGUUAACUUCGAUCAGUUUACUUGGAAAUGUUUCAUUGUCAAUUUUACGAAUGCAAGCGCUCGGCAAAUAAUGAAUGUUGUUUUCAGCAACGAUGGGUGAAUCAAUGAUUAUUGCUUGCACGGUAAACAAAAUAACGACGCCGAUCCCGCAAACAGGUUCUUGAAAACACGUGUUGAAUUCGAAGUGCCGCAUUACGCACCAGAUAGGCAUCCACCGUGAAAUUUACAUUCACACGAUAUCGUAGGCGGUAAAGAGGAAGUUACCGCAACGAGCGGUGUCGUUUUCAAGGUCGCGAAGUACGGGUCCGAGAGUGAUAGUCGGGGACCACCAGCGGUCCAUGCCAGGGGCAUGCACACUGACCGACAUUCCUGCGGUCGCCGAGAUCCUUGACGGAGGAUCUCCUAGAUCAGAAAUCACGAAUGUUUCGCACGCACACGACGAGAUAAGAAAAAAAAAAAAACAAGACGGCAACGAUUCGCGGUAUUUAAUUUUGGCGCCAUUGUCGAAAGGAUUCCCUCUUUCUUCUCGACAUCCGGAUUUUAUCUCUAAAAUCACUUAUUAAUCCAUAAAAUUUCAAUGCUAAAGGGAUUCUAAAAAUCGUUCGUUAAUACUCGACAUUUGCCGUAAGCCGCUUAUUGAAAUGUGUGCGUAUAAGGAGCUCGCGUUACACGCGUUUUCAUACGUUUUUCUCGCAACUUUUUCCACGACCACGGGAUGUGUAUCCGUAAGUUUUACGACGGAAUAUUGUAAAACGCUUAUACCGCUGUAAAAUCAGCCUAUAUGUAAAUGGAAACGUUUAUAAGAAGCGACAUGCGUCUCGUCAGAAUAAUUUACGCGUUCUCUGGCGGACUUACGAGACGCUUAAAGUGUCAGACAAGCUCGGGGCGCGAGCGCGUCUUUCCCUCCCCGUUCUCCCAUUCCGCCCCGGAAUCUUAAUUCCGGUAAAACGUCUCUCGUAUCGGCGAUCGUAAAGCCGGCGGCACUUCCGCCGCAGGGAUGAAGGGGACGGCAGAGAAAGAGGGAGAAGAGAGAAAGAGGACGAGAGGUGGCAAGUCGAAACUCCACGUAGACGAAGACGUCGAUCUAUGUGAUCGCGACGUCGGGAGUCGAGGAGGGUGCCGCGAAUUUAUGCUGAUUCGGCUCUCACCGAACUUUCGGGUAAUCAAACUUAAUUGACUCCCGCCGCCGGAUAUACGAACUCGUUCGCGAAGUCGAUAAAGUCCGGUGGAAAAAUGAGCCUGAGUCUGCAACCCUCUCUCCUUUCCCCCGUCUUUUCUAAUUUCAUUAUUUUGCUUUUUAUUAAUUUAGACCCGAGAGCUCCUUAAAGCCUUGAUUUAUGUGCCUUGCGAUUGAGAAGAUAGUUAAAUUAUUUCGGAAAAAUUCUGAUUUUUGAAGCGAACUUUAACGAAACUUUAAGCGCUUCACGCUUUGUAAAAAUAUUUUCGAAAAAUGUGAAAAGAAUUAUUUGAAGGGAUUAUUUAAAAAAAGAUGUCACGGAUUUCUCAUGGCAGCUUACAAUGCACAUGACAAUUUAAGAUUUGCGAGACACUAAUCCUCAGUUCUAUGUAGUGCAAAAUGGAAUUCUUUGAAGGAUCCCUAACUACCUAAGUGAAUCCUUCUCCUUCUUAAACACGUUUACUUAAUGACUGUUAUUUAAAAAAUAAUUUUUUUCUAAUUCCUACAUAUUCACCUUUCAAAUUUUUGUACGAAUAUUGUACAGUAUUAAGAAAUAUUUCAAGAAAACGCGUCUUCUUUUCACACAUCUCGGUUGUUUUAGAAAAUAUAAAUCAAUUAUUGCAUUUUCUCGCUACGGAUCUUUCUUUUAUCAGUCUAAGAAAUCAUUUUUCUCUUCUUUCGCGGCGCGACGAGUUUGACACGUUCCCGAGCAAGUGGCGCAAUUAUCAGUUUAAAGUAGCUAACUCGACAUCGUCGUCGCCGUCGUCGUCGUCGUCGGCGACGACGGCAGCAGCAGCGGCGGCGGCGGCGGCGGCGGCGACAACGGCAGUGUCGGCGAGCUCUACUCCUCGUAAAAUUAUCUGCAAUAAAAUCGUGAUUUACGCCCGUGUUCCUGGAAAGCGGGCCGCUCAAACGCUUCAUUCCGCGCUUCUCUUCUCGUCCUCCUCGUCCGUCCUCUCCUGGUAGUUCGCGGGGACGCCGAGGUCGAAGAGACGACGGGAACGACGUCGCCGUCAACGCCUUUCGGCGCACUCUGACCUUUCUCGAGGAGGAUUAUAUUAUCCUCGUGAAUUCAUCGGGAGCGCCGUAUGGUUAUUGUAUCCGGACACCGCUCAUUUAUAAUGAUCCACGAAAAAUAAUUCCCCUUUCAUGUUAAUAAAAUGUGUUAUCGUUAUACCGUAUCUUAUCUUUAUAUCGCAAUAAAGCUUGAAAUUUCAUCUCCUCAAGUUUGUCAAGUCUGCGGUUUACUCGUUUUCAAAGCUCGUUCCGGUUCCUAGAUUACAGCCCCUAAAGUUAAUUGCGCCGUAAUACCUUUAUAUUAAUAUCGGAUUUCGCAUUGGCAAUUUGAUAGACUGUAAUAAUAUUUUUAUUAACGCAAUUUUAUCGCGCUGCGCGUCGCGCCGAAGUUACGGCUCUCGAAAUGCGGAUGCGCGGUGACGCAACGAAGGGCGAGCAGGAAAGGGAGGAGGGAGGAAAGGGAAAUAGAAGGGGCAACAUUUUAUGCGCGCACGUGGGACACUUUUACAGAAUUUGGAAAGCAACGAACGGAAAUUUCGGAGGGAGAUACACACACGCUCGACACCGGGCGAGAGUGUAACAGCCUCCUCCACGACCCCCUCGAUCCCCCUUUUGCUCGCAAUAGCGGCGCGCGUAAACGCUCGAGGGUCGCGCAUGACGUAAACGCAAAGUAGAACGCAGGACUGCCGUGAGUCGUAAAAAGAAUCCCAUAAAACGGUAGCCCCCUUUCUCCCUCUCACUCUCCCAACAAUUUUGUAUAUUUACGUCAAUCUUCUUUAUGUUACGAAGUGGAACACCGAAACGCGUAAUACGUACGAUCGUCAUAACUUCGCGGAAGAGCCGCCCCCUGCUUGCGAAUAAUUGUCUCCGCCGAUUAUUACUUACAAUAUCAUUCACCGAGUCCCUCGGUGGUCCGAUGGGCGAGGCUUUAUAUCAAUAAUACUCUUGCCGGGCGUACUCUUGAGUUGAGAAGCAUUUACAGACUUGUCAAACUCGAAAUGUUUGACAUGCAGCACAUUUGUAAGCGAGAUGAGAUACGUGUAAUUAUAUCGAUAAUCCGGAAUCAAGAUGAUUGAUGCUUGUAUAGUUUAGCAACAAGGUAUCUCCUGUAUAACAACUUUUGUAAUUUAUGAAAUGGUUCAACGUAAUAUGCGCAUGCAGAUGUUUGUCUUUCACUGAAUAGUAACAUUGAAUUAUUCUCAUCAUAAAACUGAUUCAAUGAUAAAAUGCGUUGCGAGAAAAAGACUAUAUUGUUGGGAAAAAAAAUAUCAGAUACGAUUUAUAAGCCUUCCUGUUUUCGUGACUUACUUGCUUGUGAAUCAAUCUAAGAAUGAAAGAUCGCGUAUAAAGUUAAAGAACGCACGAAACGGAUUUAGAGUUAUAUUGUAGAUUUAUUACACUUGUGUAAUUUACGUAUUAGAUUUUUUUUCUCAUUUUGUAAUUUAUAUAUUAGAUGUUUUUUUCUCUCUUCUUUCUCUCAAGAAUAAUUCAAAGUAAAGCCGAAUAUCAAAACGUAAUGUAGCUUCAAUAUAAUGUAUUGAGCAUCCAAUGAUCUCAUCCUCUUUUUUAGAAGCGACUUCAUCCGGUUAUGCAUGUAGCAAUGAGUAUCUCAUUUAUACGAAUGAAAUAUUCCAUCUGCGCUAAUCGAUUUUUCUACGAACCGACGUCAAGUGAAUCAACAACAUGGUCGCUCUUAUCACAAACUUUUAUCGGGCCAACUUAAUUACUAGCCGUUCGCGACAAAGAAUCGCCAACAAAGAACGCGACAGAUGAAUUAUGAAUCAUGCUCGCUGACGCGAGGGCUAUCGUUAAUGUAUUAGAAUAAAAAAGAAAAGAGGGAGUGAAAGAGAGAAGGACAAAACGUAUCGAAGCGAAUAUUCAAGCCACGGCUUUACGGCGGCGAACCUUGGCUUACGCGGCGAGAAAAGCUGGAAAAUUCAAUACCGUGCAAGUUUAUGUGUAUCUACAAGCACGUCCCUCACACACGGCUUGAGAAUAUUAAAAACGAGGGCUUUUUUAUUAAGGCGCUUUUAUGACCGGAAGCGCGCACCUUUUUGCCACUUAUAUGCCCGCGAGCAGAAGGGCAAGCACUCGGUUUGAAAUUCUAAAGGAGAAAAGAGAGAAAAACAGAAAAAAAGAAUCACGCGCUAAAAGUGUUUGCGCGAAAGACAAAAAAGUUCAAAAUAUGUGAAAAAUAAUUAUAAGAUAUGUAUAUAAUACAUAUGUAGAAAACCCGUUAAAUUAAAGAAGCAAAAUCAUUCUUUGACAGUUGUGCGUUAUCUUAUAAUGCAAUAAAAAUGAUUUUAAAAAAAUAAUCAUUAGAGUUUUGAAAAAUUUCUAUAAUAAUGCAAUAUACAACUUUUAUCAAUAUUUUUCGCAACAUUUUAUUAUUGUUAUUAGUAACGAAAGUAAGACUUCUUUUUACUUUAUAACCAACGGUUAGUAUUACCGAUGGUUAAUAAAAUCUGAAGAUAUUUGCACAAAAUGUCAAAUUGUAUAAAAAUAUAAAACGAUAAAUACAUUUUCUCUCAUUCAUAUGUCAUAUUAUGAAAAAUUAUAAAAAACAUUAAAAAUUUUAGGAAAAAAAUGUCUGUAUGAAACCUUCAUUUACCGUCGGUAAUUUUAAGUCUGCAGAAUCUUCAAUAAGUAUUUCCAUAUCGCAAAAAUUAUGAAAAAUUUUAAAUUACUCUUAAGAGUAAAAAUUACAUUACGUCUAAUUUCUGUGAUCAAAACGAAUGUGAAGGGAGAGAAAAGGUAAUCAUCGACCAUUGAAAUAUACCAAAAAUUUAUUUACAUAAAAACAUGAAUAUAAUACCUAUAAUAUUUCAACUGCUGCACAUUUCUUUGUUCGCUCGGUACGCGUUAUACCUAAACAACUGGCGUCGGGUCACGAAUUAAUGUCAGUAUUGUCACAAUUUUUUUUAAACACACCUGCACAAAGUGUAUCCGAAACAACCUGCGAUACGACCUAAAGUGUCUAACUGUUAAGCUACAUCGAAUCGAUCUGACAGCGAUGCGAACGCAGCGUCCGAGGUUUCGCGUCCUCGCGAUAACUGACCGAAGCGACCUUUACGAGCCGAAACAAUUAAUUAAACCAAACGCAGUAAAGCCUCAUCUCUUUGCAAGAUUCAUAUCUCUUUCAAAGUCUUCGAAGACUUGCCCUCGCCACCCUUCGCUUCACUUCUUGUAAACACAUUUGUAUCAUUGUUCAGCCGAGCGACAUCACCGACAAUAAUUUCUUCUCGUAAUACCAUUCGUUAUAAUAUUUACAGAAUUAUACGAACAACUUAAAGUAUGCAAUUGAACACAGGGCCGGCUCAAAAAAGUUUCCUUGUAUUCCUGUACAGAUAUUUUCAAUGCGAAACGUUUUUUUUUAUUUGCAUAAACCAUCUCGUAAAAAUUGUAUAAUAAAGAAAAACGCGUUUCGCUUAAUUUAAACUUUGUAGAUUUCGACGUCUUUAAUCUUUUAAACCGGCCCUCCGAGAAUACAAUAAUCAAAAUGUUAUACAAUAAUAAAAAUGUUACAAUUUUUCUGUUAGUAACCGAUAAUAAUUGCGCUUUUUUUCGUUUUCCAUAAAUUCCUCUUGCCAAUUGCACUAAUUUUUAACGCGAAAGCGUUCAAUCAAAUUAUUAUUCAUUGGAACUGUACGGUCAGUUAACUCAUCCAUCCCACGAAAAUCAAGCAACGGGCAGUACACGUACAUCGAAUACUAAAACUACCUACACAGAUUGCCUGGAGUGUUCAGCUCGGCGAAAGUUUCUUAAGAAAUAUAGAUACAAAAGAAGUUUUCAUCUCGGCACGCGCUAGUGUUUUCCGACGAGUCCCGCGUACCAGUCCCUCUUUCAGUUUACUUGGAAUAGUCUGCGACGUGAUCGCGCAGUGAAUUCGCGGAAGCUUAUUUAACGUAAAAAAAAA